GGGGCUGUAGCUCAGUGAUAGAGCACUUGCCUAGCAUGUGUGAGGCACAGGGUUCAAUCCUCAGCACCG
rnacentral:tRNA from 1 species